AUCUUCCGCAAUGGACGAAAGUCUGACGGAGCAACGCCGCGGGAGUGAUGAAGGCUUUCGUGUCGUAAAACUCUGUUGUUAAGGAAGAACAAGUGCUAGUUGAAUAAGCUGGCACCUUGACGGUACCUAACCAGAAAGCCACGGCUAACUACGUGCCAGCAGCCGCGGUAAUACGUAGGUGGCAAGCGUUAUCCGGAAUUAUUGGGCGUAAAGGGGGCGCAGGUGGUUUCUUAAGGCUGAUGUGAAAGCCCACGGCUCAACCGUGGAGGGUCAUUGGAAACUGGGAGACUUGAGUGCAGAAGAGGAAAGUGGAAUUCCAUGUGUAGCGGUGAAAUGCGUAGAGUUAUGGAGGAACACCAGUGGCAAAGGCGACUUUCUGGUCUGUAACUGACACUGAGGCGCGAAAGCGUGGGGAGCAAACAG
rnacentral:rRNA from 1 species